GCCGCCUGAGGGAAGCGGCCGUGUGGCGCUGAGGGCAGAGCUCCCUCAGCAGCGCUGUUUGUGUCUCUGCCGCUCCUCACUGUCGUCGUCCCGCUGUAAAAGGAGACGUGAGGGCCCUCUGUAGCCGUGGCCCGCUGGCAGGCUCCCAGAGUGAAGAAAAAAGGCUGACAUGCUGACCCAGUGUCAGGCAGCAGAAGUGGGGAUCCAGGUCCUCCCGUUGCUGAAGGAAGCGCCCAGGAACGAGGCUGCAGGAUUAAGGAGGAAGCGGAGGUUUUAAUGAAGCAGACUCCAUUCUUUGGAGGGGUGAAGGGAGGACCCUUCUGAGUCUUUCCAGGCUACUCCCAUCUGAUACAGGUCAGACACAGGAGGCAAUCGCUGGCUGUAUUUUGUUGAAGUCCUUUCAGACCUCCCGCCACACCUAAUCGUCCCAACAGCAGCAGUCACCUGGAAGUCUGUUAUGUUCAUUGGACCAAAGUCUCUUUGUUUCAGCUGCACCGUUCAGGCCAGAUAACCACAGAGGGCUUGAGAUGGCCUUGCCUUCACACCCAGGUGGCAGUGGAGGCUGUGACAGCCAGAGAAGGCGGCUCACACAGAUUAGGUACAAUGAAGGGGGUUGAUGAAUGCUGCACUUUAGCAAGUGGCGUGACACCUUUUCUUCCUCCUGAUAGCAGGACAGCUGUGGUCUACAGAGACACCUGGGGAACAAGAUUUCCUGGAGGGCUUUUUUUGCUCUGAUUUUCUUCUGCUUUUACUAUAGAAGGUAGACUUCAUGAAUGACAGCACCUCCUCUGUCCCACCUUUUAUGUGCAGCUUGGUUUUGGAGAUUGGAAGGUUUUUCAUCCAUUGAUUUUGUGCCCAUCGUGGAUAUGUUUUAAAAAUACCCUUUUCUUAAAAAAAAAAAGUCCCUACUUCUCAUGGAUAAAUUUUGAUGGGGACAGUGAGAAAUAAAUGUAAACAAGUGCUGAACGACAUGCUGAAUCUGAUAGCAUAAAUCCCCUCCGCAGAGCUGUAAAUUGACUCAAAGCUCCUGUUGUGUGGAAAAGAACUCUUGGGCCCAACAAGGGGUAAGAUCUUAAUAAAACCUUUGUUCACUGUUACAAUAGGGACCAGCUAAGUGUGGUUUGGGGCUUCUGCCAAGUUAACCCUGACUUAUUCCCAUUGUCACAAGUACUGCUAAGAAACCCUUUAAUGUGUUAUUAUGGGUAAAGUAUGAAAAAUGGUAUCUUUCAUUUCAAAUGCUCCAUUUAAAGCAAAAGUGUUCAUUUUAAGAACAUCCUUUAUUCCCUUUCCCCAUUGCUACACUCAGUGCUUUAAAGAAAAUUCACAUUUUGUGUGGCAUUAAUUUUCUUUUUGUUGGAAAAAAAAGUUUCUUAUGUGGUCUGAAACCGCCACUGUCUUUAAUAUUGCCGGAGUCUUAUUUUCUUCAAGAUGAAAGUGCAGGUGUUCUGAGCCCCCCGAACACAUGCUAACCUGGCUUACUUGAUUGUUCCCUUGCCUGUGGUCUGUUAGUCACAGCCCAACCAUGGUCUCUUGCCCUGUUGUUAGCUCCUUAGGUCAGGAUGCAUGUACAGAGCAUUCAGAUCCAUGUGCAGACAGUGUUGCAAUGGUAAUCUGAAUAACAAUAAAGUUGUGAAAAUAAGA